AUUUCUCCUUAAUUGCGUCUGGAUUUUAAGUCAUGGUUAGGAUGGAUAUAGUUGCUGUUCUCACAGGGCUAGUUUGGCAGGGGCUCUUGUGUUGUUGAUUUAGCUUUAUCAUCAGCUUGACUUGACUGUGAUGUGGACCUUUCCUAUUUUUUUUUAAAUUAGAGUAUAGUUGAUUUAAAGUGUUGUGUCAAUUUCUGCUGUACAGUAUAGCCACCCAGUAAGACACCCAUCUAUGUACAUUCUUUUUCUCAUAUUAUUUUCCAUCCUGGUCUAUCCCAAGAGACUGGAUAUAGUUCCCUGUGCUGUACAGUAGGACCUCAUUGCUUUCCAUUCUAAAUCAUACUUCUUUCUUGUUUUGCCUCCAGUAAAAUGGUCUUUUGAAGAAUUUUUCUGGUUGAACAUUCUAUUUGCAGGUUUCUUUCUCUGAUUGAGUAACUGAGAUGUAAUUAAUAAUUUAGAGAGCGGCAGAAAGACAAACAUGGUGAUGCAGGUUAUGUCUCAAGAUGGCAAAGUUGAUGAGCUACAUGUUUAGAAUUUUUUAUUUAUCACAUACAGUUUGAGAAUAAAAGCCUCUUUUGCUUGAAUGUUCUGUAACUGUGUAAAUUGUCAAAAGUGCCUUUGUGGUUACCACCUAUGGAAUCAAAGCCUAGUGGAAUGCUGUACCACUGUUUGAUGGAUUGGGUACCUUCCUCAUAGAUAGCUGAGUAAUUAGGAUAACUAAGAUAUUGACAUAGCCCCUGUCUUCUCAUUGGUAAACGUCUAACAUUCAGGGCUCCGAAAUCUGCGCAGUCCCAUAUGACACAAUUUUUCUAAAACCUCUGGGACUGCACUGCGGUGGAAGCUGUAAAAAUAUGGAAACUGCAUGAAGGCUUUUCAGUGUAGUGUAGCAAAGUGGCUAAGUGGGGGGGACUCUGGAGUCAGACAGCUUGGGUUACAAUCCAGGCCCAACUACCUCUCUCAGUUUCCUCACCUCUAAAGCAGGCAUAAUAAUUUUGCUUAUCCUUAGUGUUGUAAUGGGAGUUAAAUGAGUUAAUAAAUAUAAAACAUUUAAAACAGUGCCUGGCAUAUAUAGGAUAAGGGCUUUAAAAAGGUUUUUCCGUUGCUGUUAUUACUAUUCCUAUGGUCAGAACUGAACCCACAAGAAGGCCAGCAAAAUAGGAGUGAAUGAAAGCCUAGGGUUAGGAGUUGAAACACUGCUAGUGAGGAGGAGAAAAUGGCUGGGGAGGAGAGAAGCGCAGGGGAAAGGUGUCCGAUUUGAUAACUUUGUGACGAACUGCUGUUUUUUUCUACAUGACACUUACUUUCAUUUUUAACUUCAUCCUUUUGUCUCCCACAUCCACCAAGUUGCCAAUUUUGUCACUUUUUUUGUUUCAUCUGAUACAUUUGUUUCUCUUUGUCGAGUCCCACUGCAGCUGUUCUAAUCCAGGUUUUCAUCGCUUCUGUCCUUGAUUACAUCACCGGCUUCUGAAGUGGUUUUCUUGGCUCUGCUCUGUCACUUAAGAUCUAUUCUGUUUACUGCUGCACGAUGACUGUUCUUGAAAAAGUACUGUCAUCACUUUAUCAACAUGCUCAAGCACCUGCCGUGGAUUUCUUUUGCUGGUGGAUUAAGUCUUUUCAGCAGCUUUGCCCUACUCUGUCCAACCUCAUGCUCCCUACCGUGGUUGAGGGCGGUGGAGUGGAAGGAUUAUUGCAAUCUCCUCAUAAAUAAUAUGUGGCCUUGGGCAAGACACUCAGCCUUUCUGUGCCUCAUUUUGCUACCCUAUAAAAUUUGGAUGAUAAUAAUAGUAAACACUAAAAAAUAUAUAUAUGUGUAUAUAUAUGCACACACAUAUAUAUAGUCAUUAUAUAUAGUUAUUAUAUAUAUACCUAGUCAUAAUCAUCAUCCAUGAUCCAGUGAAAAAAUGUAUUAGCAUUUCCUUAAAAACCCCCUUUGAUUAUAAGCAAGCCUUUCUCUUAGAUCUUGGCCAGGACACUAUGCUUUAUCCCAUUUGAAGACCUUUGCUGCUUAUUCAAAUCAUUCUACCUCAACCCCAAGCUCCUCUCCUUCAUGAAGCUUCUUACCAUUAGUCUAGUCAUGGCUGUCUCUUUCUUUUCAUUUCCUGUGAAUACAACCUAGUAUUUUAUAGUAUGAUAUAAUCAUUAUUAUUGCUCUCGAUGAGAUGACAUCCAAGCUCCUUUGGAGAAGGGAGAGUGCCUUACUCUCUUGCUGUACCUGGUAGCUACUUACUAGUUUCUGAAUGUUUUCUUAUCACCUCAGUGCCUUUUCCCACUUUCUUUUGCCUUUAUUUUGGUCUCUAAACUCUUCUUCCAUAUGUUUUGGUAUUAUGCAGUUUCAAAAUUUAAAUAAAGGCUAGUUGAAGACAACUAAUUUAAUCUUGCUUUAAAGUCAGUUUUAAUACUUUCACAUAAUUGACAAUGUUGUAUAAGAACAAUAAGAAGAUGUUCCUGCUGUGGUGAAGUGGGUUAAGAAUCCUACUGCAGUGGCUCAGGUCACUGUGGAGGUGGGGGUUAAAGGAUGCCGCAUUGCUGCAGUUGCGUUGCAGUGUGUAGCAGAUUCAAACCCUGGCCCAAGAACUUCUAUAUGCUGAGGGUGUGGCGAUUGGAAAAAGAAAAGAAUAAGAAAUCUAAGAUUCUGCAUCAACAUUUUUAGAUGUAUUUUAGAAUAUAUGUAUUGAUACAUCUAUAUCUGUCUAUAUCUUUAUUUAUAUUAAGAAAACAUUUUGUUCCUCACUUUUUCUUCUGUAGGUCUUGUCUCUAUCCAGGCUAGACUCUGCUCUUACUUUUUUCUUUUCUUUUUACAGCUGCACCUGUGGUGCAUGAAGGUUCUCACGCUAGGGCUCGAAUUAGAGCUGCAGCUGAGGCCUCCAGGUUCACAGCCAUAGCAACACCAGAUCCAGGUCGAAACUGCGACCUACACGGCAGGUUGCGGCAAUGCCGGAUCCUUAACCCACUGAGCAUCUUCAAGGAGACUCUGUCAGGUUCUUAAGCUCCUGAGCCACAAAGAAAACUCCUGCUCUUUUGAGGGUGCCUCCUGCUUGGGUUUCUGGAGGUUCUUAACUCUUUGUCAAGAUUGUCCUCAGCUUCAGACCAGUCAUCAAAAUAACAAAUCAGAGUAAUUAGCCACCUUGCAUAAUCACAGUGUUAAUCUUGUAUAAUACUGGCUGUUCCAGACAGAGCCUACACCCAUUCUGGAGAGUAACUGCUUUUUAUCAGUUUUUACUCUUGAGAUUUAAACACAUGGUGUAUGUCCGAAUUAAUUUAAUAGUAACCUAUGAUGGGAAAGUGUUCUGUUGUUUUGGGAUUUUGCAACGUCAAUAAUUCAAAAGUUAUUAAACUUUUUAUUUAUUUAUAUUUUUUUGUUUUUAUUUUUUGCUUUUUAGGGCUGCACCCGCGGCAUGUGGAAAUUCCCAGGCUAGGGGUCGAAUCGAGCUAUAGCUGCUGGCCUACACCACAGCCACAGCAACGUGGGAUCCAAGCCGUAUCUGUGACCUACACCACAGCUCACAGCAACGCUGGAUCCUUUACCCACUGCUUGAGGCCAGGGAUCGUACCUGCAACCUCGUGGUUCCUAGACGCAUUCAUUUCCGCUGCACCACAGUGGGAACUCCAAAUGUUAUUAAACUUUUUGAUAUCUCUCACAAUGUAGGGGUAAACUUGUACCCCUACAUUGCCGAUCGCUUCUUGCAUUUGUGAAAGUUGAGCACAGUAAUUACUUUCAGUUUCUGUCAAACUAAAUUCAAAGGAUUGCUUCUGAAGGAAUGAAAUAAAAGUAAAAAGGUGAUUCAUUAAAAAUUGCUGUGUAGAAAAAUAGAGCCGAAUGGCAUAAUCUAAACCACG
rnacentral:lncRNA from 1 species